GACGAACGCUGGCGGCGUGCUUAACACAUGCAAGUCGAACGGUGAAGCUCCAGCUUGCUGGAGUGGAUCAGUGGCGAACGGGUGAGUAACACGUGAGCAACCUGCCCCUGACUCUGGAAUAAGCGCUGGAAACGGCGUCUAAUACUGGAUACGAGAAGGGUCCGCAUGGGCACUUUCUGGAAAGUUUUUCGGUUGGGGAUGGGCUCGCGGCCUAUCAGCUUGUUGGUGAGGUAAUGGCUCACCAAGGCGACGACGGGUAGCCGGCCUGAGAGGGCGACCGGCCACACUGGGACUGAGACACGGCCCAGACUCCUACGGGAGGCAGCAGUGGGGAAUAUUGCACAAUGGGCGAAAGCCUGAUGCAGUGACGCCGCGUGAGGGAUGACGGCCUUCGGGUUGUAAACCUCUUUCAGCAGGGAAGAAGCGAAAGUGACGGUACCUGCAGAAGAAGCACCGGCUAACUACGUG
rnacentral:rRNA from 1 species